GAUUUUUCUAAAAAAAAUCUUUAAUCGUGAAACCGAAUUCUAACUCAUAAGUAAACAUAUCUGGAAUCUAAACCUAAUCGGGAAAAUUAGAAGCGCCUCUAAAAAACGGUUUCAAUAAAAACUUCUCUUUGAAAGCUUUGAAAGAAUCUUUUUGAAUAGCCCUGCCAUUGGAAAGCCGCCGAGAAAGUUUUCCCGGAGUAAUGCAAGUAAAAAAACAAAAACAUUCGUAGUCGAUCUGUGCCUGGAGACAAGUUAAA